rnacentral:rRNA from 1 species
CUACGUGCCAGCAGCCGCGGUAAUACGGGGGGUGCGAGCGUUAAUCGGAAUAACUGGGCGUAAAGGGCACGCAGGCGGUGACUUAAGUGAGAUGUGAAAGCCCCGGGCUUAACCUGGGAAUUGCAUUUCAUACUGGGUCGCUAGAGUACUUUAGGGAGGGGUAGAAUUCCACGUGUAGCGGUGAAAUGCGUAGAGAUGUGGAGGAAUACCGAAGGCGAAGGCAGCCCCUUGGGAAUGUACUGACGCUCAUGUGCGAAAGCGUGGGGAGCAAACAGGAUUAGAUACCCUGGUAGUCCACGCUGUAAACGAUGUCGAUUUGGGGAUUGGGCUUUAAGCUUGGUGCCCGUAGCUAACGUGAUAAAUCGACCGCCUGGGGAGUACGGCCGCAAGGUUAAAACUCAAAUGAAUUGACGGGGGCCCGCACAAGCGGUGGAGCAUGUGGUUUAAUUCGAUGCAACGCGAAGAACCUUACCUACUCUUGAC